rnacentral:tRNA from 2 species
AGAGACUUAGGAUAAAUAGACCAGGGGCCUUCAAAGCCCCAAGUGGGAGUUAAACCCUCCCAGCCUCUG